GACGAACGCUGGCGGCGUGCUUAACACAUGCAAGUCGAACGGACGAGUGAGAUAAGUUUACUUAACUCACAAGUUAGUGGCGGACGGGUGAGUAACACGUGGAUAAUCUACCUGCAACACCGGGAUAACGCUGUGAAAACGGUGCUAAUACCGGAUACGUUCCCUUGUGCGCAUGUAUGAGGGAAGAAAGCUCAGGCGGUUGCAGAUGAGUCCGCGGCUGAUUAGCUAGUUGGUGAGGUAAAGGCUCACCAAGGCGAUGAUCAGUAGCCGGCCUGAGAGGGUGAACGGCCACACUGGGACUGAGACACGGCCCAGACUCCUACGGGAGGCAGCAGUGGGGAAUCUUCCGCAAUGGGCGCAAGCCUGACGGAGCAACGCCGCGUGGGUGAAGAAGGCCUUCGGGUUGUAAAGCCUGUCUUAUGGGAAGAAGUCAGUGACGGUACCAUAGGAGGAAGCCACGGCUAACUACGUGCCAGCCGCCGCGGUAAUACCCACGAGACG
rnacentral:rRNA from 1 species